ACAACAGACCGGCGGGGUAUACGAACCUCGCUGAACAUACCCAGCCAUUCGACAGAGACGCAACUCACGAUCAGAGUUAAAUGGUACUACGAAGCUCACUUAGGAUUAGAGGGGUUUUAUAUGCGUCUGAAAAAACCCCAGUACAGAAACAAUAGGGGCUAAGCAGCUUCGCUGCUCGGACCCCUAAUAAGGGCCGUUCAGGAUGCUGCCAAGUUACGGGUGCAAUGGAGACGGUGUCUCGCAGAGCGCUCAGAGAGCAGAUGUUCUCGUGUGGUAACAUCGCCCUCUGCUGUCCACAUCCGCUCACUACACACACAGGGACGCAAGAUCAUACGGGACUUGCUUUUCACCAACUUGACAUCAGUAACACACACACACACACACACACACACACACACACACACACACACACAUGCACACAGUAAGGUGAAUUGAAUGAAGACUUUUUCGUUUUGAAGUAUGAAUCUAAAUCAGUCAAAUCAGACUCAUCCCUUUAAUUAAAAUGAGGGAGGUCAUAUAAGAUCAAACACAGAGCUGAAAUAGCCUCUCACUGUUACCAAGUGAGAACCUGCGUUGGGUUUCACUAAUUAGCUCACCUGCCGAAGCUCGCCUGCCAAGUGUUUUUCUUAAUUAGUUAAUUGGUUGCAUCUGGUGCGUUUCACUUAAAAGGGAGCCGGACAGUACGUUGGAGUUCUCCACUGGCAGUGUAGCGUCUCCCAAACGCGGUUAAAGACUUUUUGAAGUAAGGAGGAGCAUCUCAUCUGAACCUGAUGUCUAUCAUGGAUAUGUAACUGCAGUUCUGUGUCCACCUCCUCACCCAGAGCCAGACCUCCACCUCCUCACAAGUCCUCCAGAACAGCUGAAAGGCGAGGCUGGGGACCGGAGGCUUGUGGUGCCAGGGUGGACCGGUGACUGAGGCUGGAGACCAGGGGCCUGCAGCACCGGACCAGGGGACCAGGAAUCCAUGGCUGAAGGAGCUGAUGGAGGAGCCGUGCUGAAGGAGCUGACGGAGGCCCUGCCUGGUGGAGGAUGUCUGUCGUGGGGUAGAUGGAGCCUGACUCUGAAACCAGGACUCUGUCUGAGGGGAGCUGAUGGAGGAGCUGAGACGCUGGAGGACGACUAGGAAUCGACCAACAGGGAUUCCUCGACGUGUUUCUGGAGCGGAGGCGAGCUGGUAGGGGAGCCAUGAAUCUGGAGGAUGACCAUGACUCUACCAACAAGGAUUACGUUGGGGCCAGACUUGCGCUGUUUGUUCCAGACCAGGACUCUGGGUGAGGAGAGCUGAUGGAGGAGCCAAGACUCUGGAGGACGACAUCACUCUACCAACAAGGAUCCUCACAAGGAAUCUGGAGGACUGACGGAGAAGCCGUACAUCUGGAAGGCAAAUCCUGAGGACGACCAGGACUCUACCAUCAAGGAUUCCUCACACACCUGAGCUGAACCUCACCUGAUCAUGUUUGGUCGGGGGUAGAACCACCUGAGCUGAACCCGCCCUGAUCCUGACAUCCUGCUGGUCCCGUCUCCUCAGUUCAUCUGAGCCUCGUCCUCCAGAAGACCUGCUGAGCUCAGCAGUCUGAGGGUGAUGGAUCAAUGACCUCCAGUGGGAGUGAUCUUCUUGACCCCACAUACCAGGAAUCCAUGGCUGAUGGAGCUGCCCCGCUGAAGGCCCUGCCUGGUGGAGGAGCUGAUGGAGGCCCUGCCUGGUGGAGGAGCCGUGCUGAAGGCCCUGCCUGGUGGAGGUGCUGAAGGCCCUGCCUGGUGGAGGAGCUGGUGGAGGCCCUGUCUGGGGAAGGACGUCCGUCGUGGGACCAGGACUCUGUCUGAGGAGAGCUGCUGGAGGACGACUAGGAAUCGACCAACAAGGAUUCCUUAGACCAAUUACGUUUGUAACCAGACCAGGAAUCUGGAGGACUGAUGGAGAAGCCGUACAUCUAGAAGGCAGAUCCUGAGGACCACCAGGACUCUACCAUUAAGGAUUCCUCACACACCUGAACUGAACCCGCCCUGAUCCUGACAUCCUGCUGGUCCCGUCUCCUCAGUUCAUCUGAGCCUCGUCCUCCAGAAGACCUGCUGAGCUCAGCAGUCUGAGGCUGAUGGAUCAAUGACCUCCAGUGGGAGGGAUCUUCUUAACCCCACAUGUAAUCGUGUGCUUCCACACGCCUUUCCCUCACGUCUGUCACUAACCUCACUACUUCACUACUCUCUACUGCUUCCUCUUCUUCCUUCUCUGUGGUUCGAACCUUUACACGGGAGGCGCGUCUCCAUUCCCUCAGAGGGUUCAGCGUUAGGGUUGAGAGUCAGGGUUUAGAGUCAGGGACCAAGGUGGUCAGGGAGGACUGCUUUUACACAAACCUCUUCACUUGCUUUCGGAAUGGUGGUGACAUUUUGAAAAGAUUCAUUCGGGAAAAUGUUUUCAUCUGCUUCCCUUUACAAAAUUGUAUUGAACUUCUGUCAAGUGUUUUUGUUUAUAUAUUAAAA